GGAGGAAUAUUGGGUCAAUGGGCGAGAGCCUGAACCAGCCAAGUAGCGUGCAGGACGACGGCCCUAUGGGUUGUAAACUGCUUUUGCGCGGGGAUAAAGUGCGCCACGUGUGGCUCAUUGCAGGUACCGCGCGAAUAAGGACCGGCUAAUUCCGUGCCAGCAGCCGCGGUAAUACGGAAGGUCCGGGCGUUAUCCGGAUUCAUUGGGGUUUAAAGGGUGCGCAGGCGGCGCGCCAAGUCAGCGGUCAAAGUUCCGGGCUCAACCCGGUGUCGCCGUUGAAACUGGCGUGCUCGAGUGCGUGCGAGGAAGGCGGAAUGCGUUGUGUAGCGGUGAAAUGCAUAGAUAUGACGCAGAACUCCGAUUGCGAAGGCAGCUUUCCAGCGCGCUACUGACGCUGAGGCACGAAAGCGUGGGGAUCGAACAGGAUUAGAUACCCUGGGUAGU
rnacentral:rRNA from 1 species